rnacentral:lncRNA from 1 species
GAUUGUCAGGUUGCAUCUGAAAAUUUUUUUAUGAUAAGAUAACAUAAAUUUUAUGUUUACUUGAUAUACCGCAGAAUAGGAAUCAAAAUCUUCAGAAAAACUUAAAUCUGAUGUCUCACGAAGUCUGAAUGUACAGACCCUCUCUUCGUAUGCACGCCAAGCUCGGCAGGAAAGAUGAAUAAAGCCUUGUGCAUCAAUCUUCAGAAGGGAAGCA